rnacentral:lncRNA from 1 species
CUCCCACCCACCAUACAGGGGAACACUCGGCAGAGCCAGAGGCCUGGGCCCAAGUCCUGCCACCAGCUGGCUGUGAAACUGUGGUACAGCACCUUGUGUCCUGCCACCAGCCGGCUGUGAAACUGGUACAGCACCUUGUCCUCAGGUCCUUGGUUUCCUCACUUGUAAAUUCAUGGUUCUCCAUGGCAUCUCUGGUCUUCAACAUUAUUUUGCAUAGAGUCUCAGAAGCUUUAGUGUGAGCGGAUGAUAUGGGCACGAAGCAAGGCACCCAGAAGUGGGGGCAACUACUCUGCUUUCUAAAAUGCAAGGGAACCGGAAAAUCCAGGAGCCGUGCCAAAGUCUAUGUUCCCUUUAUGAGCUGUAACGCACACCAUGAAGGUCUGCGGCUUGGCUAUUGAGUCAGUGAGAGCGUGAACCUACUAUUAGAAGAAAAACUCUGAAUACGUCUGAACGUCAGAAAGAACGAAGUUUGGACACAUUGUCUUUAAGAACUGUAACACUCACCCCAAGGGUUUAUGGAUUCAUUCUUGAAAUCAGUGAAACCAAAAGCUUUCCAAAGUUUAACACACAGGGAAAUGACUUACUGCAAAGAACCACUCUUCCCCACGAGACUUCGAGAAGACCCGCUGUCACGGACUGAGUUGUGUCCUCUUAAAAUUCAGAUGUUGGAGUCCAAACCCCCAGUAACUCAGAGUGUGAACGUAUUUGAAGAGGUCUUUAAAGAGGUGAUGAAGGGAGAGAGACCCCAUGAGCUCGUCAAGCUCCUUCUGUGACUGAUCAGAGAUCCCACCGUGAGUCCAGCUCCUGGUCCCAUGCUCUGGAUAUAUCGGUCCCUGGCAGCGUGAGUGCCUCUGUGUUCACUGUCCCAUUUGAGAAUUCUAAGUAGAAUUCUGAACAGGCUGGAGCAGAUUGCCCACCCCAAGGGACAGAUGUUGGCUGGUACUGUUGGUAUUCAUGGAAGAUUCCUUCUGACACUCCCUCCUUCUUUGUAAUUGCCAUGAACUGGAGCACUGGGCCAAUAUAAAUCAUCCAAGGGUGAACACGCUGCACAUGGACGGCUCCUCUUUGUUUUUGAAGGGAUUCCAUCUCUAUUUUGCCAUGUGCUCCUUCACCCCACUCCCCACCCCCGUCUUUCAUUUCUUUCUCUGGAAAAGAUACUUCAACUCACAGGACUGCGAUGUUGAAACGGACACCCAAGAGCAUCACAGAUGGGCCAGGCCUGGACCUCUCGGGACAACAUUCCUCACGACUUUUAGAUAGAAGAGAUUAGAGAUUUGGGACUGGUGGCAACUGGUAACGUUUUCAGUGUUUGGUAAACAGCCAGGGUCCGGAGCUCUGGGAACAGCCUGAUUUAGCUCUUUGUUUAAGUUUUGUGUUAGAGGCUCCCAAGAAGCUGAUGCAGGGGAAAGAAAUUAACAACCAUGGCUCAUUCACAGCCAGGCAGCCAAAUGGACAGCUCUAUAAGACUCAAGCCGACAGCGGAGAGAGUGCAACCAAACAGCCUUGGCCCAGCUUUCAGAGGAGAACGUUAUUCACCCCAACUGCUCUGCAUCUGCCUGGAUGUCUGCCAAGAUCUGUGAGCAUUACAGCGUUGGUAUGCUUUGGGUGAGGCCUGUGGCUAUGGCAACAAGUUGGGAGCAACCCGGUCCCUGGGAAUGAGAACAGUGUCUAAAAUCAGGCAGGCGAGGGGCAGGGAGGAGAGGUAAAGGUUGGACUUGCCUGAAGAUGGAGCCGUUUUAUUGUUGUGGGUAAAGCUGCUACCAUUAGGGGCUGUUUACAGAGUGGGUGCAGCUCAAGCUGGGAGCAUGUUAGACUCAGCGACUACGAUCAACCUAUUGACUUGUUCCCAUGAGACAGAGUAAAUUAACUGUUGCAGUACUGGUCAUGUACCACCAACCUCCUGUGAACCAGCCCUCAGUGAAACAUUUAUGUGAAAGGCCAUGGUGUUCCCAUAAGAGGGUGCAUGUUCUCUCCCUUGACUAACUCUUCAGUAUGCCUCAUUCUCACGCGCUGGUGUGCAGGAAGGAGUCCAACAUGCCCCAUUGACAGUCAUGCCCUGUAUGUGGAAAGUCUUCAGGUAGAGCACUGGGCUCAGGUUUGAAGAUGUGAGUUCUAAUCCUAGCAAGGCCAUUACCUCCCAGUGACCUCAUGUCUCGAUUUCCUCAACCACAAAACAAAGGCAUUGGUGAGCUGACCUCUAAGGCCUCUCCAGUUCUCACCUUCUGUGUCUCUACAGACUGGAGACUAGAAGAUUAUGGGCACUUUUAUUGAGUCUUCAUUUUGUUUCCAUUUCUUUGUAGUCAUCAGCUGGAGUUGAGGACAAGUUUUAACAAUAGAUAGGUUUCUUUUUGUCUCUUUUUAAAAAAUUUUAUUUAAAAUAAAUGCCAAGUGUAGUGGCUCAUACCUGUAAUCCCAGCACUUUGGGGAGGCCAAGGUGGGAGGAUUGCUUUUGAGUUUGAGACCAGCCUGGGCAACGUGGUGAGACCCUGUUUGUACAAAAAAUUUUAAAUUAGCCAGGCAUGGUGGCGUGUGCCUAUAGUCCUAGCUACUCUGGAGGUAGAGGCAGGAGGAUCCCUUGAACCUGGGAGGUUGAGGCCACAGUGAGCUGUGAUUGUGCUAUUGAACUCUAGCCUGGGCAACAGAGCAAGACCCUGUCUCUUAAAAAAGACUAUUUUUUAAGAACACUUUUAGGUUCACAGCGAAAUUUGGAGGAAACUUGGCAUAUGUCAUAUGCCCCCUGCUCCCAUGCAUGCACAGCCUCUACCAUUAGCAAUGUCCCCACUCAAAUGGUACCUUUGUUGUAAUCAACAACCCUGUACUGACACAUCAUCAUCACCCAAACUCCAUAGUUCACAUUAGGUUUCACUCUUGGUGUGGUGUACAUUCCAUGGGCUUGAACAACUGUAUAAUGACAUUAUCCACCACUGCAGGAUCAUACAGAGUAGUCUCACUGCCCUAAAACUACUCUGUGCUCCACCUGUUUGUCCCUUCUUUCACUCUAAACUCCUGGCAACAACUGACCUUUUUACUGCCUCGAUAGCUUUGCCUUCUUCGGAAUGUCAUGUAGUUGAAAUCAUACAUCAUGAAGCCUUUUCAGAUUGGCUUCAUAUAGGUUUCCUUCCUUCCUUCCUCCCACCACCUUCCUUUCUUUCUGUAUUCCUAACUCUUGGAUGUAUUUUCCCCAGCAUCAUGACUUGAUGGGACUUUUGCUAAGAUAGGCAAUCAUAGAAAGUCAUAAAUCUCUUGUCAGCCUUAUUGGCUCACCUCCGAGAUGGUUCCAACACUCUUUAAGGCCCACUUUUCCAAUCCACAGAUUCCCCAGCAGAAGUCCAAGCUGCUGAGCCUCACAUCAUCUUUUGCACUAGUAAUCUUUACCACUACUUCACUGUAGCAUUUGAAAAUUUUCAUAUGAAGCCAUAGUUCUGUGUCUUUUUUUUUUUUUUUUUUUUUUUGGAGACGGAGUCUUAACCUGUUGCCCAGGCUGGAGUGCAGUGGCACAGUCUUAGCUCACUGCAAGCUCCGCCUCACGGGUUCAAGUGAUUCUUGCCUCAGCCUCCCAAGUAGCUGGGAUUACAGGCGCGCCACCAUGCCCAGCUAAAUUUGUUGGCAUUUUUAGUAGAGAUGGGGUUUCACCAUGUUGGCCAGGCUGGUCUCAAACUCCUUACCUCAGGUGAUCUGCCUGCCUCAGCCUCCCAAAGUGCUGGGAUUAAAGGUGUGAGCCACCGCACCUGGCCUGAAGCCAUAGUUCUUAACCUCAGUUGUGCAAUAGAAUUAUCUGGGGAAUUUAAAAAUUAGAAAAAACCCAUGCCCUGAAGAUUGUGAUCUAACUGGUCUUGCGUAGCGCCUGGGCAUUGGUAUUUUUUAAAUGUUUCCCAACUGAUACUAAUGUGGCCAUUCUGCAAGCCACAGUUGAAAGGCUUAUUCAAGCAUCCUGUUGCUGAAUGCAUGUCGUCCUUACCACAUGACUCUGGAGGUUUUCUUGUAUUCUGAUGUGGCUGCCCUGUUGAGGCCUGCCCCUUAGAGUGGAGAUUAUCCCCUGCAGUAGGCUGCCUGGAAUAUGAUCCCCAGUGAUCCCUGCUUCCUGGUAUUCAGGCCCUGGUGUGAUCCCUUUCCCUUGAAGCCUGGGCUGGAUUAGUGACUUGCUUCUAACCAACAGCAUAUGGCAAAA